rnacentral:rRNA from 1 species
CUGGAGGUAUCAGAAGUGCGAAUGCUGACAUAAGUAACGAUAAAGCGGGUGAAAAGCCCGCUCGCCGGAAGACCAAGGGUUCCUGUCCAACGUUAAUCGGGGCAGGGUGAGUCGACCCCUAAGGCGAGGCCGAAAGGCGUAGUCGAUGGGAAACAGGUUAAUAUUCCUGUACUUGGUGUUACUGCGAAGGGGGGACGGAGAAGGCUAUGUUGGCCGGGCGACGGUUGUCCCGGUUUAAGCGUGUAGGCUGGUUUUCCAGGCAAAUCCGGAAAAUCAAGGCUGAGGCGUGAUGACGAGGCACUACGGUGCUGAAGCAACAAAUGCCCUGCUUCCAGGAAAAGCCUCUAAGCAUCAGGUAACAUCAAAUCGUACCCCAAACCGACACAGGUGGUCAGGUAGAGAAUACCAAGGCGCUUGAGAGAACUCGGGUGAAGGAACUAGGCAAAAUGGUGCCGUAACUUCGGGAGAAGGCACGCUGAUAUGUAGGUGAAGUCCCUCGCGGAUGGAGCUGAAAUCAGUCGAAGAUACCAGCUGGCUGCAACUGUUUAUUAAAAACACAGCACUGUGCAAACACGAAAGUGGACGUAUACGGUGUGACGCCUGCCCGGUGCCGGAAGGUUAAUUGAUGGGGUCAGCGCAAGCGAAGCUCUUGAUCGAAGCCCCGGUAAACGGCGGCCGUAACUAUAACGGUCCUAAGGUAGCGAAAUUCCUUGUCGGGUAAGUUCCGACCUGCACGAAUGGCGUAAUGAUGGCCAGGCUGUCUCCACCCGAGACUCAGUGAAAUUGAACUCGCUGUGAAGAUGCAGUGUACCCGCGGCAAGACGGAAAGACCCCGUGAACCUUUACUAUAGCUUGACACUGAACAUUGAGCCUUGAUGUGUAGGAUAGGUGGGAGGCUUUGAAGUGUGGACGCCAGUCUGCAUGGAGCCGGCCUUGAAAUACCACCCUUUAAUGUUUGAUGUUCUAACGUUGACCCGUGAUCCGGGUUGCGGACAGUGUCUGGUGGGUAGUUUGACUGGGGCGGUCUCCUCCUAAAGAGUAACGGAGGAGCACGAAGGUUGGCUAAUCCUGGUCGGACAUCAGGAGGUUAGUGCAAUGGCAUAAGCCAGCUUGACUGCGAGCGUGACGGCGCGAGCAGGUGCGAAAGCAGGUCAUAGUGAUCCGGUGGUUCUGAAUGGAAGGGCCAUCGCUCAACGGAUAAAAGGUACUCCGGGGAUAACAGGCUGAUACCGCCCAAGAGUUCAUAUCGACGGCGGUGUUUGGCACCUCGAUGUCGGCUCAUCACAUCCUGGGGCUGAAGUAGGUCCCAAGGGUAUGGCUGUUCGCCAUUUAAAGUGGUACGCGAGCUGGGUUUAGAACGUCGUGAGACAGUUCGGUCCCUAUCUGCCGUGGGCGCUGGAGAACUGAGGGGGGCUGCUCCUAGUACGAGAGGACCGGAGUGGACGCAUCACUGGUGUUC